AGUUGAUACUGUUGCAGCUGAAAGCGGUAUUACCAACACUUCUGGAGCAGCAAAAACAGAGAAUAUAACUGCUGCUGCUGCUGCUGUUUCAGAGGAAAGUGAAUCCAUAAGUGACAAAGACGAAAAUGCUUACAAAAACGCAAUGCUGUUGAAUUUUAUCCUGGAGAUUUCUAAUUCUUGUGCGGAUUCGUGUGACUUAACUCGAGAAACGGAAUGUGAAGAUAAAGAAUGCAUGGAAAAAGAAAAACUUUGUGCGCAAUGCAUGAGAAACCAACGACUGAAACAAUUGAGAAAACUUCUGAAAUAGCAGGAAUAUGUGAAUGUCUAUGUAUACACAAUCACACAAACCAGAAGGCCAAAUCUUUUGCAAUAGAGUGCCGACAAGCUGAAGUGUACGAAAUUAAAUAAUUGACAAGUGAAACAAGUGAAAUCCUAAAUAUAUAAUCGAUAACAUUAAAUUUAUUAAAAAUUAGAAUUUACCAGGAAGCAAUAAUCAAUCAGAACUGAUACCUGAUAUUCUUUUGUUAAUUUCUAAUCCUUUCAUAUAAACUGAAAUAAACUAAUGCGCCAUUAAUGAAAAGCAAUACCUUUCUAGUUUGUUAUGUU